UACGAAGGACCCAAGCGUUAUCCGGAUUUAUUGGGUUUAAAGGGUGCGUAGGCGGGUUAUUAAGUCAGUGGUGAAAGCCUACAGCUUAACUGUAGAAUUGCCAUUGAUACUGAUGAUCUUGAGUAUGAUUGAGGUGGGCGGAAUGUGUCAUGUAGCGGUGAAAUGCUUAGAUAUGUCAUAGAACACCGAUUGCGAAGGCAGCUAACGAAACUAUAACUGACGCUGAGGCACGAAAGUGCGGGGAUCAAACAGG
rnacentral:rRNA from 1 species